UUACAAAAAUUCAGAUUCAAAGAAAGCAAAGUGUGCAUAUUUAUUCAAAUCAAUCAGAAUUCAAUCAAACAUGUUUUCAUUAAUGUUCCCAGUUCUAGUGUUUCCAUAUUACCACAUUUUGCCUUUUUGUAGGGCAGAUACAGUGUAUGCAAAUGUCAUGAUUUAGCCUGGAGUAUCAGUGUCAUGCAAACUCUCAAAGGACUGUGUUAUAAACUGGAUCCUCAGUCAGUGUUUGUGUUCUGCUGCAGUGCAGUUUCUUUUCCUUUGACACUUUUAGGGUGAUGAUGGAAAUGUUACAGUAUGGAUUUCUGCUGAUGAUUAUGUCAGCUGUUAGUGGUCAGUCUUUGACCUCCUCAGAUUCUGUGGUGAAAAAGCCUGGAGACUCAGUGACUCUGUCCUGCACUGUGUCUGGAUUCUCAAUGAACAGCUACUGGAUGGGCUGGAUCCGUCAGAAACCAGGGAAAGGACUGGAGUGGAUUGGGAGUAUAUCUGGCUCAACUGUAUAUUAUGAUCAGUCUCUACAGGGCCAGUUCUCCAUCACCACAGACACCAGCAAAAACAUGCUGUAUUUAGAGGUGAAAAGCCUGAAGACUGAAGACACAGCUGUUUAUUACUGUGCUAGAGACUCACAGUUACAUGAAAGACUGCUGGGCUGUACAAAAACUAUUCAUGCAUCAGAUCACUGAAGCAACUUCCCCACAAUUUAACAAAUUAUACUUAUAUAGAAAUGUUAUUUGAAACAUUUACAUACUUUCUCAUAAGCAGCUUCUCAAACAAAUGAGUGUAUAAAGGUCUGGAUUGAUUGAGUUACAUCAUAAAGAUCAUAUUCAAAUCCAUGAGGGCUGAUCAAUGAGCAAGAUACAAAACCUGCACAGUUGCCAUAUGUCACGAAUCUGGUUCGUGGCCUUCCGUCUGACUGCCACAAGAGGUCGCCUCGCUAUCAUAUGGACUCUCAAACCACAUCACACUGGACUGCAUUUCCCAUCAUCCAUUGCACUGAUCACACAGCUGUCGCAAAUCACACGCUCACCUGAAAGCUAUUACACCCACUAUAAAACACACUCAGAUCCUGAUCUAGUUGCCGAGUAUUGUCUAGCGUUUAGCACUCUCCUAGUGUUAGCUACUGUACCAAGCCAUUCCGUGUUUGUUGUCUGUCUAGUCUCUAGUAUUGUUCUGCUUUUAUCAUCUCUCCAAGUGAUAGCUGCUUUACGGAGCCUUUUCCUUAGUGGUGGGCAGAGUGAGUCUUCGUGAAACACUGAAACAGUCGAAGCAAAUUUGUAGAGGCUUCGAAACAAUUCGACACCUGUCUCUACGGUGAUACCUAGUGGUCAUUUUCAAGUAUUGCUCUAAAACAGCUUCGACAGAGAAGCAGUUAGGCGAAUUGACGAAUUAUAACGUAUCCACAAAUUGAUUUGGGGGUGUUAACGUUUGUAUUAGGUGUGUCCUCACACUGCUCAUGUCAUGUGUUACCUGCCUUUCCAUAAAAGGACAUAUGCAAAUAAAAGGCAGUUCCGGUUCAUCAGAAUACAGAGUGGUGAGUGUGUUUUUCCUCCGUGUAACUAAAUAUAAUUUAUCGGUUAUCGUACGCAAAA